UGGCUCAGGACGAACGCUGGCGGCGUGCCUAAUACAUGCAAGUCGAACGGCUUUUCUAUGGAAGCUUGCUUCCACUGAGAAGAUAGUGGCGAACGGGUGAGUAACACGUGGGUAACCUGCCCAUAAGAGGGGGAUAACAUCCGGAAACGGGUGCUAAUACCGCAUAGUUUUCUUGAUCGCAUGAUUGAGAAAGGAAAGACGGCCUUUGUGCUGUCGCUUAUGGAUGGACCCGCGGCGUAUUAGUUAGUUGGUGAGGUAACGGCUCACCAAGACGAUGAUACGUAGCCGACCUGAGAGGGUGAUCGGCCACAUUGGGACUGAGACACGGCCCAAACUCCUACGGGAGGCAGCAGUAGGGAAUCUUCCGCAAUGGACGAAAGUCUGACGGAGCAACGCCGCGUGAGUGAAGAAAAGGUUUUCGGAUCGUAAAACUCUGUUGUCAGAGAAGAACAAGUUGGAGAGUAACUGCUCCAGCCUUGACGGUAUCUGACCAGAAAGCCACGGCUAACUACGUGCCAGCAGCGGC
rnacentral:rRNA from 1 species